ACAGCAGCAGCCGCGGUAAUACGGAGGGUGCAAGCGUUAAUCGGAGUUACUGGGCGUAAAGCGCACGCAGGCGGUCUGUCAAGUCAGAUGUGAAAUCCCAGGGCUCAACCUGGGAAUGGCAGUGGAUACUGGCUCGCUAGAGUGUGUCAGAGGAUGGUGGAAUUCCCGGUGUAGCGGUGAAAUGCGUAGAGAUCGGGAGGAACAUCAGUGGCGAAGGCGGCCAUCUGGGACAACACUGACGCUGAGGCACGAAAGCGUGGGGAGCAAACAGGAUUAGAUACCCCGGUAGUCCCUGUCUCUUAUAC
rnacentral:rRNA from 1 species